rnacentral:rRNA from 1 species
GGAUAACCUGCCCUUGGGGUCCGGGCAUAACCCCGGGAAAANUGGGGAUAAAUACCGGAUAACGCACAUAUGCUGGAAUGCUUUAAUGCGUAAAAUGGAUUCGUCUGCCCAAGGAUGGGUCUGCGGCCUAUCAAGUAGUAGUGGGUGUAAUGUACCUACUAGCCGACAACGGGUACGGGUUGUGAGAGCAAGAGCCCGGAGAUGGAUUCUGAGACAUGAAUCCAGGCCCUACGGGGCGCAGCAGGCGCGAAAACUUUACAAUGCGGGAAACCGUGAUAAGGGGACACCGAGUGCCAGCAUCAUAUGCUGGCUGUCCGGGUGUGUAAAAUACACCCGUUAGCAAGGGCCGGGCAAGACCGGUGCCAGCCGCCGCGGUAACACCGGCGGCCCGAGUGGUGAUCGUGAUUAUUGGGUCUAAAGGGUCCGUAGCCGGUUUGGUCAGUCCUCCGGGAAAUCUGAUAGCUCAACUAUUAGGCUUUCGGGGGAUACUGCCAGACUUGGAACCGGGAGAGGUAAGAGGUACUACAGGGGUAGGAGUGAAAUCUUGUAAUCCCUGUGGGACCACCUGUGGCGAAGGCGUCUUACCAGAACGGGUUCGACGGUGAGGGACGAAAGCUGGGGGCACGAACCGGAUUAGAUACCCGGGUAGUCCCAGCCGUAAACGAUGCUCGCUAGGUGUCAGGCAUGGCGCGACCGUGUCUGGUGCCGCAGGGAAGCCGUGAAGCGAGCCACCUGGGAAGUACGGCCGCAAGGCUGAAACUUAA